rnacentral:rRNA from 1 species
UACGAAGGGUGCUAGCGUUGCUCGGAAUUACUGGGCGUAAAGGGCGCGUAGGCGGCUGUUUAAGUCGGGGGUGAAAGCCCGGGGCUCAACCUCGGAAUUGCCUUCGAUACUGGACAUCUUGAGUUCGGGAGAGGUGAGUGGAAUGCCGAGUGUAGAGGUGAAAUUCGUAGAUAUUCGCAAGAACACCAGUGGCGAAGGCGGCUCACUGGCCCGAUACUGACGCUGAGGCACGAAAGCGUGGGGAGCAAACAGG